UGGAUGUUAAUUGCUAUGACACUGACAUUUUGCAUCUUACCCAUAUUUCUAGGUUACCUUUUAUAGGAAAAUCUUUGAGAACAAAAUUACCGGGGCUUUUAGGAAAAACUACAGUAUACUGCUUUCUAAAAAUAGAAAAUUACUGCUAACAUAAAGUCUAAUUUAUAUUACCUGGGUCUUUAAGAAUUUAAUUUUUUAAAAAAUUCCUGUUUUAUGAAUUAGUAAUCUUGAAUUUUGAGACUAUUAAGUAAUUACAUGAACAAUAGUGAAUUAUUCUGCUUGGGUGCCCCAAGAUUACUUUUUGAACAUUCUUGUCCUGUGUGGUACCGAUCACUCUCAGAAAGUAUAACCCUUUGAAUUAACAAAUAAUAUUUAGAAACCACUGGUUUCUCUCUGAUAGUAUUUUAUAGAUGCUCUGGAAGUUAUUAUAAUCCGUUCUAGCUGGUUCCACUCAGCCUGUUCUUCCCUGUAGGACAUUUUUAAUCUCAUUAUUUGGUAGGAGCUCGGUUUAUAAGCAGACAUUUAACAAAAUGUUUGAAAUGCAUUUUGGUCUCAACCAGAGAAACCUUGUUUAUCUACUGUGCCCAGUUGUACCCAGCUCUACCCAGCUCAAAUCCAGAGAGAAAAAAUUUCAAUUUUAAAAGUCAUACAGAAAAAGUAAAAUAAAUUAAAUGUGUUCUACUUCAGGAUUAAAUAAAUAGUAGUCAAUGUAAGGCAGUUAAGAGAACUGUAUAAUUUCAAUUUUAUGUACCCAGAAUUUAAAUAUUUAUGUUUCUAAUCUUUAUUAAAGUUGUCAGAUGAACCAUAAACCAUACUUGGCCAUGGUAAAGAUUUUCUUGCUGAAAAAAGUAAUUGGUAUCUAUUACAACAGAUGUGAAGAGAUAUCACACUGCUACUUAUUUUUAAGAGUCUAAACUAUUACUUAUUUCUUGAUAGCAUAACUGUCUACCCAUCAGAAAUUAAACAUCAUAACUUCUUAAUAGAAUGUGAUAUCUGUAGCAGAAUUUGGGAAUUUCAGAAUCAUGUGUUAGAAUAGCUCCCCAUCACCUUUCUCCUCUCCUGAAUGUCAUAGUUUUCUACUCUUGGCUCCUAAAACAUAAAUGAACUUUUUCUGAUUUGUUAGAGUAGGGCAAAACCUACCAGAAGGAGUUGAAAUUAUCUUUGCUGUUUAGAGUAUUGCAGGCUUAGAUAUCACAGUAUUAAAUUAGCAUUGCUCAUUUUGUGUGGAACAAUUAUUUUCAAUGUUUCACUCUCAAAGGAGACAUCAGAUAAUAUUUGAACAGAUUAUUUCAUUAAAUAGGUCAAAUAAGACUUUACUUAGCCUUAGCCUUUUGAAUGUGUUUUGAAACACAAAAAGAAUAUCUUUGCAGCAUAUGCACAGACUCAUCUUUAUGCAUUGCAUAAUGGAAUAAUUUUGUUUCCUUAGCAGUGUGAUGGGGUUGAGGAAGGUGAAUACUCUAUCAUUUGCUUUUCUCAGUUUUACAGCUAAAUUCACAACCAGAAGCAAGGGAGGAAGAAAGGGUUCAUUUUAACUCCUGGUUCAGAGCAUACAGCCCAUCAGGACAGGGAAGCGGAGGUGGCAAGAAGAGCUUAUAUGUGACAGGGCAGGGAUUUGCUCACCAAGGUGGCCAGAAAGCAGAGAAAAAAAAUGCAAUCAUCCCCCCCCCUUUUUUUUUCCUAUUCCUUUUUAAAUUCAAUCUGUCUAGAACUCAUGGGUUGAUGCUGCCAAUAAUCAGGGUGUGUCUUCCCCCUCUGAAGCUGCUGUUCAGACAUGCAGACAGCCUUUGUCUCUGAGGUGAUUCAAACCCCAGCCAGGAAGACAGUCAUAUCAUUAACUAGAAUUAUCUCUGUUACUAACAAUAUUCUAGUAAAAGGUUAUACAUUUAUUUACAGUUGUAAUUAACACACUCUUUUGAAAAUAUUCCUCCAUAAGAAGUAUUUCAGAGAUAGGCUCUCUUCAUUAUAAUAUGGCUCAGGACCAGGUGAUAUGGCUACAGACUAUAUGACAAUUCCAAACUGAUUUCUUUUCUUCCUUAGUAUACAGACAUUGGACAUCACGCAGAAUGAACACGUGUCUAUGUCCUGUCAUUUGCUUUGGCUAGGACUAUGAAUUCUCUAAAUCAGCUCAAAUGGAGACCAGAUCCUUGGCAGGCCCUUUGUAAAAUAUAUCUGUAUCUUAAUGUGAUAGAGUAAUAAUAAAGAGAACAAUGCACUAAAAACUCUACCAAAAUCAAAAUUAAAUAUGAUUACUAUAGGUGUGAGAUGAGUUAACUCAGUGAAUAAAACAAACUUUGCUUGUAAUACCUGAAUUUUUUUGUAGUAAAUUUUAAAGUAAUCAUUUAACAAAGAAUAUUAUAUAUCUACUUUAUGGCAAGAAUCAUAUAAACAACCAUUAAUUUGAUGAAGCAAAGUAUGAGGUGUUAAAGAGAAUAAUUAGGUUACACAUUUAAAGAGAUAUUAUUCCAUUUCCAUAAGUUUUUUUUCUAUUUUUAAUAUGAAAACUUUAUGCCUAUAUUUUUGAAGUAUAAGAUGCUUUAAUAUCAGAAUUAAUGAUAAUAAAUUAUUUAAUAAAAACACAUAUUGUAAUCAGUCUAAUUAUGAGGUUUUUUUUUUAAUUCAACUAAAAACUGUAAAUUGGAAUCCUACGUGAAAACAUUCUUUCCACAGUCUCAAGAGAAGUGUACAUUUUAGUCUAUGUUGAAAUUUUUUAACAUCAAAAAAUGUACAUAUUGAUUCUAUCUUAAUCAAAAGUUACUUUCCCUUGGACAUAUUAAACUUUGUGUAUUAUUUACUGUGUUCUUUUAGUUUUUCCUGACACAAGACAAUAAAUUCAGAUAAAUAACUGCAUUAGGAAUUAAAGUACAUGUGAGUUUUAAAAAAAUCCUCCUCUUCAGAAAGUUUAAGUGAAAAUUAACAUUGUUGCAAUUUAUUUUAGUUGAGUUCUAAUAAGUUACAAGGAAGUUGAAUUUUAAGUGAAAUAAAUAUUUGCCAUUUCAAUAAAUCUUUCAAUUUAUUUUCUCCUUUUAUGAUGAAUAGAUUCUUUCCUCAUACGACCUGAACAUAGUUUCUUUUCCAUCUUCUCCUCGCAAUUCCUAACCAGUGCCCCCACACAACCAGAAUCCACCCUCCUUCUGUCUCUCAUUAGAAAAAACAAACAAACAAACAAAC
rnacentral:lncRNA from 1 species